rnacentral:rRNA from 1 species
GACGAACGCUGGCGGCGUGCUUAGCACAUGCAAGUCGAACGGAAAGGCCCUGCUUUUGUGGGGUGCUCGAGUGGCGAACGGGUGAGUAACACGUGAGUAACCUGCCCUUGACUUUGGGAUAACUUCAGGAAACUGGGGCUAAUACCGGAUAGGAGCUCCUGCUGCAUGGUGGGGGUUGGAAAGUUUCGGCGGUUGGGGAUGGACUCGCGGCUUAUCAGCUUGUUGGUGGGGUAGUGGCUUACCAAGGCUUUGACGGGUAGCCGGCCUGAGAGGGUGACCGGCCACAUUGGGACUGAGAUACGGCCCAGACUCCUACGGGAGGCAGCAGUGGGGAAUAUUGCACAAUGGGCGGAAGCCUGAUGCAGCAACGCCGCGUGCGGGAUGAUGGCCUUCGGGUUGUAAACCGCUUUCGCCUGUGACGAAGCGUGAGUGACGGUAAUGGGUAAAGAAGCACCGGCUAACUACGUG